AACGCUGGCGGCGUGCUUAACACAUGCAAGUCGAACGAAGCACCUCUAAUGAAGAUGACGAAGCUGCUUCUGAUUGAUUCGCCUUGAGGUGACUGAGUGGCGGACGGGUGAGUAACGCGUGGGUAACCUACCUCAUACAGGGGGAUAACAGUUGGAAACGACUGCUAAUACCGCAUAAGCGCACAGUAUCGCAUGAUACAGUGUGAAAAGCUCCGACGGUAUGAGAUGGACCCGCGUCUGAUUAGCUAGUUGGUGAGGUAACGGCUCACCAAGGCGACGAUCAGUAGCCGACCUGAGAGGGUGACCGGCCACAUUGGGACUGAGACACGGCCCAAACUCCUACGGGAGGCAGCAGUGGGGAAUAUUGCACAAUGGGCGAAAGCCUGAUGCAGCGACGCCGCGUGAACGAAGAAGUAUUUCGGUAUGUAAAGUUCUAUCAGCAGGGAAGAAAAAUGACGGUACCUGACUAAGAAGCUCCGGCUAAAUACGUGCCAGCCGCAGC
rnacentral:rRNA from 1 species